AUGUAUGCACAGACAGCAGCGACAGCAGCAGGCCAUCAUUUCUCCACACAAAUCACCAAUCUUCCUAAUGCUGCCUUAAGACUGUUUAACAAUCAGAAAAAAAAGACCUUGCUGGUGCUGCUGGCUGCCCUUCUGGGUGUUAAGUGAGCCAGCUCGCUGAUGUGCUUCUCCUGCCUAAACCAGAAGAGCAAUCUGUAUUGCCUGAAGCCCACCAUCUGCUCCGAUCAGGACAACUACUGCCUGUCGGUGACUGCGUCUGCCGGCAUCAGAAAGAUUGUCACAUUUGGCCACACCCUGAGAAAGUCCUGUUCCCCGGCCUGUUCCCCCCAGGUAUAGCUUCCAUGGGCAUCUGCUGCUGCCAGGGUUUCCUGUGCAAUUUCAGCUCGGCCGACGGCAGGCUGCAGGCCAGCGCCACCCUACUGGGUGCCAGACUGCUGCUGAGCCUGUUGCCUGCCCUGCUGCGUUUCGGUCCCUGACAGCCCAGACCCUGUCCCCAGCCCCCUAGCUCAGGAAGCAAAGCCCAGCCCUUUCUGGAUCCCACAAGGGUAUGAGAGCCCCUGAUUCCUCAUGUGCCUGAUUUGUACCCUUGGUCCCAGGUCAGGCCCACCCCCUGCACCUCCACCUGCCCCAGCCCUGCCUCUGCCCCAGGUGGGGCCACCUGCCCUCACUUCUGGGGUUGAUGAUGUGACCUUCCUUGGGGGACUGUGGAAGGGAUGAGGGUCCCCUGGAGUCUUAAGGUCCAGCGUCAGGAAACAAGUCCUGUGGACACACUGAGAGGGCCCCCAGGGAGGCUGUGCCAGUAGGGAUGUGUGCCCGUGGAGGUACGUGGGUGUGCUGUGCAGGUGUGAGCACGUGGCAGUUUCUGGGGCCUGUGUUUGGGGAGUGAGGGGUGCCAGCAGCCUGCAGAGCCCCAGUCCCCUAUAACCCCCUGCCCUGGCAUAGUCUCAUGCCCUUCAAGGGCAGCCUUUUGGGGGUGGGGUUUCCACUGCUUCCAGGUCUAGGCUCCUGCCCCAAAUCCAGCCAGCCCUGCCCCAGCCCACCCUCACAUUGGAGUCCUACUGCUUCAGUGCCUCAAAUAAAUACAGAUAUCCCCC